rnacentral:rRNA from 1 species
GAACUGAAGAGUUUGAUCAUGGCUCAGAUUGAACGCUGGCGGCAGGCCUAACACAUGCAAGUCGAGCGGUAGAGAGAAGCUUGCUUCUCUUGAGAGCGGCGGACGGGUGAGUAAUGCCUAGGAAUCUGCCUGGUAGUGGGGGAUAACGUCCGGAAACGGACGCUAAUACCGCAUACGUCCUACGGGAGAAAGCAGGGGACCUUCGGGCCUUGCGCUAUCAGAUGAGCCUAGGUCGGAUUAGCUAGUUGGUGAGGUAAUGGCUCACCAAGGCGACGAUCCGUAACUGGUCUGAGAGGAUGAUCAGUCACACUGGAACUGAGACACGGUCCAGACUCCUACGGGAGGCAGCAGUGGGGAAUAUUGGACAAUGGGCGAAAGCCUGAUCCAGCCAUGCCGCGUGUGUGAAGAAGGUCUUCGGAUUGUAAAGCACUUUAAGUUGGGAGGAAGGGUACUUACCUAAUACGUGAGUAUUUUGACGUUACCGACAGAAUAAGCACCGGCUAACUCUGUGCCAGCAGCCGCGGUAAUACAGAGGGUGCAAGCGUUAAUCGGAAUUACUGGGCGUAAAGCGCGCGUAGGUGGUUCGUUAAGUUGGAUGUGAAAUCCCCGGGCUCAACCUGGGAACUGCAUCCAAAACUGGCGAGCUAGAGUAUGGUAGAGGGUGGUGGAAUUUCCUGUGUAGCGGUGAAAUGCGUAGAUAUAGGAAGGAACACCAGUGGCGAAGGCGACCACCUGGACUGAUACUGACACUGAGGUGCGAAAGCGUGGGGAGCAAACAGGAUUAGAUACCCUGGUAGUCCACGCCGUAAACGAUGUCAACUAGCCGUUGGGAGCCUUGAGCUCUUAGUGGCGCAGCUAACGCAUUAAGUUGACCGCCUGGGGAGUACGGCCGCAAGGUUAAAACUCAAAUGAAUUGACGGGGGCCCGCAC